rnacentral:lncRNA from 1 species
GCUGUAGUAACCAAGUCAUUCCACCCCUUCCCUCUUUCGUCCGUUUAGUACCUUUGUGUGCGCGUGUUUUGUGAAGAAUAGAGAGGAUGGCUGCGGAGAUGGAGUUCAGAGAGGGAGAUAUGGUCGUUUGAAGGGGUUACUGGUUUUUGUGGUGGUCGUGAGUGAGUUGAAGAAGCAACAUCAAUUGCUUGUUAGUUGUCACCGGUCAUUACUUGGGAAGAAGAAGGGUGUUCUGGGUGUGCAACUAGGUUUUCCGGCGGCUUUCAUGUGGUGAGGGAGCAGCGGCAGAAGGGUGAGAGGCGCUAAAGUGGUGCGAGGGAAAUGGAUAGAGAAGAAGUAGCGGGUCCUUUGGGUGAGGGUUUUGCGGCUGGUUUGUGUUGUUAUAGGAAGAAGGUAGCCGAUGAAGGGGGGGGGGGGUCUUUUGUUUAUGGCUGCUGCGACUGAUCUCCAAAGUUAGGUAGUGAGGGUUCACAUGAUAAACAACUGGGNNNNNNNNNNNNNNNNNNNNNNNNNUUCACGAUGAGAGAUGGCGGGGGGGGGGGGGGACAUUUUUUUGGUUCUAGCGUUAGGUUUCUAGAGUUAUUUUAGGUCCGUUGCGGCUGAUUUGUGUUGAAUGGGGCAGGGGUCGAUGCUUCUCUAGGUUAGAAAAUUAGGUCUCAAGUUUUUUGUUGUUCCAUUUUUUAUGAAGAAGAAGCAACGACUGGGGGGUUC